rnacentral:rRNA from 1 species
AGCGAACGCUGGCGGCAGGCUUAACACAUGCAAGUCGAACGGGCAUCUUCGGAUGUCAGUGGCAGACGGGUGAGUAACACGUGGGAACGUACCCUUCGGUUCGGAAUAACUCAGGGAAACUUGAGCUAAUACCGGAUACGCCCUCUGGGGGAAAGGUUUACUGCCGAAGGAUCGGCCCGCGUCUGAUUAGCUUGUUGGUGGGGUAACGGCCUACCAAGGCGACGAUCAGUAGCUGGUCUGAGAGGAUGAUCAGCCACACUGGGACUGAGACACGGCCCAGACUCCUACGGGAGGCAGCAGUGGGGAAUAUUGGACAAUGGGCGCAAGCCUGAUCCAGCCAUGCCGCGUGAGUGAUGAAGGCCUUAGGGUUGUAAAGCUCUUUUGUCCGGGACGAUAAUGACGGUACCGGAAGAAUAAGCCCCGGCUAACUUCGUG